rnacentral:rRNA from 1 species
UACGGAGGGUGCGAGCGUUGUCCGGAAUCACUGGGCGUAAAGGGCGCGUAGGCGGUCAGCACAAGUCAGUUGUGAAAUCUCCGGGCUUAACUCGGAAAGGUCAACUGAUACUGUGCGACUAGAGUGCAGAAGGGGGCAACUGGAAUUCUCGGUGUAGCGGUGAAAUGCGUAGAUAUCGAGAGGAACACCUGCGGCGAAGGCGGGUUGCUGGGCCGACACUGACGCUGAUGCGGCGAAAGCCCAGGGGAGCGAACGGG